UGUUUUGAAAGAUUUCUUCGGAAUGAAUUUGAUUUAGUUUAGUGGCGGACGGGUGAGUAACGCGUGAGUAACCUGCCUUCAAGAGGGGGAUAACAUUCUGAAAAGAAUGCUAAUACCGCAUGACAUAUCGGAACCACAUGGUUCUGAUAUCAAAGAUUUUAUCGCUUGAAGAUGGACUCGCGUCCGAUUAGUUAGUUGGUGAGGUAACGGCUCACCAAGACCGCGAUCGGUAGCCGGACUGAGAGGUUGAACGGCCACAUUGGGACUGAGACACGGCCCAGACUCCUACGGGAGGCAGCAGUGGGGGAUAUUGCGCAAUGGGGGCAACCCUGACGCACCAACGCCGCGUGAAGGAUGAAGGUUUUCGGAUUGUAAACUUCUUUUAUUAAGGACGAAAAAUGACGGUACUUAAUGAAUAAGCUCCGGCUAACUACGUGCCAGCAGCCGCGGUAAUACGUAGGGAGCAAGCGUUGUCCGGAUUUACUGGGUGUAAAGGGUGCGUAGGCGGCUUUGCAAGUCAGAUGUGAAAUUCUAUGGGCUCAACCCAUAAACUGCAUUUGAAACUGUAGAGCUUGAGUGAAGUAGAGGCAGGCGGAAUUCCCCGUGUAGCGGUGAAAUGCGUAGAGAUGGGGAGGAACACCAGUGGCGAAGGCGGCCUGCUGGGCUUUAACUGACGCUGAGGCACGAAAGCGUGGGUAGCAAACAGGAUUAGAUACCCUGGUAGUCCACGCUGUAAACGAUGAUUACUAGGUGUGGAGGGUCUGACCCCUUCCGUGCCGGAGUUAACACAAUAAGUAAUCCACCUGGGGAGUACGGGCAAAACGUUGAAACUCAAAGGAAUUGACGGGGGCCCGCACAAGCAGUGGA
rnacentral:rRNA from 1 species